rnacentral:rRNA from 1 species
GAUGAACGCUAGCGGCAGGCCUAAUACAUGCAAGUCGAACGCUCAGUAGCAAUACUGGGAGUGGCGCACGGGUGCGUAACGCGUACACAAUCUACCUCUAAGCGGGGGACACCUCCUGGAAACGGGGAUUAAUACCGCAUAAUAUGCCGAAGUCGCAUGACUUUGGUAUUAAAGCAGCAAUGCACUUAGAGAUGAGUGUGCGUCCCAUUAGGUAGUUGGUGAGGUAACGGCUCACCAAGCCUAUGAUGGGUAGCCGGUCUGAGAGGAUGGUCGGCCACACGGGCACUGAGACACGGGCCCGACUCCUACGGGAGGCAGCAGUAAGGAAUAUUGGUCAAUGGUGGAAACACUGAACCAGCCAUGCCGCGUGGAGGAAUAAGGUCCUACGGAUUGUAAACUCCUUUUGACGAGG